rnacentral:rRNA from 1 species
GAUGAACGCUGGCGGCGUGCCUAAUACAUGCAAGUCGAGCGAAUGGAUUAAGAGCUUGCUCUCAUGAAGUUAGCGGCGGACGGGUGAGUAACACGUGGGUAACCUGCCCAUAAGACUGGGAUAACUCCGGGAAACCGGGGCUAAUACCGGAUAAUAUUUUGAACUGCAUGGUUCAAAAUUGAAAGGCGGCUUCGGCUGUCACUUAUGGAUGGACCCGCGUCGCAUGAGCUAGUUGGUGAGGUAACGGCUCACCAAGGCAACGAUGCGUAGCCGACCUGGGAGGGUGAUCGGCCACACUGGGACUGAGACACGGCCCAGACUUCUACGGGAGGCAGCAGGAGGGAAUCUUCCGCAAUGGACGAAAGUCUGACGGAGCAAAGCCGCGUGAGUGAUGAAGGCUUUCGGGUCGUAAAACUCUGUUGUUAGGGAAGAACAAGUGCUAGUUGAAUAAGCUGGCACCUUGACGGUACCUAACCAGAAAGCCACGGCUAACUACGUGCCAGCCGCCGCAGUAA